CGAACGCUGGCGGCAGGCUUAACACAUGCAAGUCGAGCGAGAUCCUCGGAUCUAGCGGCGGACGGGUGAGUAACGCGUGGGAACGUGCCCUUUGCUACGGAAUAGUCCCGGGAAACUGGGUUUAAUACCGUAUACGCCCUUCGGGGGAAAGAUUUAUCGGCAAAGGAUCGGCCCGCGUUGGAUUAGGUAGUUGGUGGGGUAAUGGCCUACCAAGCCGACGAUCCAUAGCUGGUUUGAGAGGAUGAUCAGCCACACUGGGACUGAGACACGGCCCAGACUCCUACGGGAGGCAGCAGUGGGGAAUCUUAGACAAUGGGGGCAACCCUGAUCUAGCCAUGCCGCGUGAGUGAUGAAGGCCUUAGGGUUGUAAAGCUCUUUUCAGCUGGGAAGAUAAUGAACGGUACCAGCAGAAAGAGCCCC
rnacentral:rRNA from 1 species